GAGNNUUGCGCAUGGCAGAANUCUGNGCAGCGACGCCGCGUGAAGGAUGAAGGCCCUCUGGGUUGUAAACUUCUGUAGAGUGGGAAGAAUUUCCGCCUCUGGCGGAUUGACGGUACCACUAAAGUAAGGGUCGGCUAACUACGUGCCAGCAGCCGCGGUAAUACGUAGGACCCGAGCGUUGUCCGGAAUCACNUGGGUGUAAAGGGAGCGCAGGCGGACUUUCAAGUCGAUGGUGAAAUCUUACGGCUCAACCGUAAAACUGCCGUCGAUACUGCUUGUCUUGAGUGUGAAAGAGGGUGGCAGAAUUCAUGGUGUAGCGGUGAAAUGCGUAGAUAUCAUGAAGAAUACCGGUUGCGAAGGCGGCCACCUGGUUCAUUACUGACGCUCAUGCUCGAAAGCGUGGGGAUCAAACAGGAUUAGAUACCCUGGUAGUCCACGCCCUAAACGAUGAAUACUCGGUGUUGGGUCGCAAGACUCAGCGCCUAAGCUAACGCAUUAAGUAUUCCACCUGGGAAGUACGAUCGCAAGGUUGAAACUCAAAAGAAUUGACGGA
rnacentral:rRNA from 1 species